GGGGUCGACUGGUUUUGACAGCGAGAUUAAUUAAACGGUAAGCACGUCGUGUAAUGACUUUGAAACACGUAAAAGGCUAGGUCACACUUUUAAACGGCGAGAAUAACUACGCUUUAGCUGCUUAAUCCGAAUUAUAGUAGGAUUGGCCUCGGUGCACUAGGUGUACGAGCUAAAUGUCUCCUGAAAGCCUUGAUUAACGGCGUUCUAUAAGAGGCAUCGUAAAUGUUAAUAUAGAAAGUAAAACGCUUCGGGUUACUUUUGAAACUAAAGAAGAUAAGUUGUAGGUGGGUUGUCUUUAACCAGCUUGCAAUCGAAAACCCAAGAAAAGAAUAAACGUGUAGAAGGCUCUUUAUUUACUUGUUUGGACGAGAGUUCGAUUCUCUCCGACUCCACC
rnacentral:tmRNA from 1 species